UACGUAGGGUGCGAGCGUUAAUCGGAAUUACUGGGCGUAAAGGGCGCGUAGGCGGCCUGCUAAGUCGAACGUGAAAUCCCCGGGCUCAACUCGGGAACUGCGUUCGAUACUGACAGGCUUGAAUCCGGGAGAGGGAUGCGGAAUUCCAGGUGUAGCGGUGAAAUGCGUAGAUAUCUGGAGGAACACCGGUGGCGAAGGCGGCAUCCUGGACCGGCAUUGACGCUGAGGCGCGAAAGCCAGGGGAGCAAACGGG
rnacentral:rRNA from 1 species